GACGAACGCUGGCGGCGUGCCUAAUACAUGCAAGUUGAGCGAUGAAGAUUGGUGCUUGCACCAAUUUGAAGAGCAGCGAACGGGUGAGUAACGCGUGGGGAAUCUGCCUUUGAGCGGGGGACAACAUUUGGAAACGAAUGCUAAUACCGCAUAAUAACUUUAAACAUAAGUUUUAAGUUUGAAAGAUGCAAUUGCAUCACUCAAAGAUGAUCCCGCGUUGUAUUAGCUAGUUGGUGAGGUAAAGGCUCACCAAGGCGAUGAUACAUAGCCGACCUGAGAGGAUGAUCGGCCACAUUGGGACUGGAACACGGCCCAAACUCCUACGGGAGGAAGCAGUAGGGAAUCUUCGGAAAUGGACGAAAGUCUGACCGGGCAACGCCGCGUGAGUGAAGAAGGUUUUCGGAUCGUAAAACUCUGUUGGUAGAGAAGAACGUUGGUGAGAGUGGAAAGCGCAUCAAGUGACGGUAACUACGCAGAAAGGGACGGCUAACUACGUG
rnacentral:rRNA from 1 species